AGCCCUUUUGGGCUGCACCUUCCUCCUCCUCUGCCUUUGUCCCUGUCGGCAGUGGCGGCAGCGAAGCGAGCUACUUGUUCUUCCUCCUCUUCCACCACUGUUGGCAGUGGCAGAGGAGGAACGAGCAGCCCGAAAGCAGCCCUUUCAGGCUGCUUGUUCUUCCUCCUCCUCCGCUGCCGCCACCACCAGGUUUGUGGUGUGUUGAACCGGCUUAUACUCGAGUCAAUAAGUUUCCCCAGUUUUUUGUCCUAAAAUUAGGUGCCUUGGCUUUUUAUAUCCGAGUCAGCUUAUACUCGAGUAUAUAUGGUACUUAGUCCCUAUUUCUGAUGCAGCUAACCACAAGCAGCAAGACCUUGGUCUGAGCUAAUGCUUACUCAAAGCUGAAAACCACACACCCCAAUACAUCUUACUGAAAUGUGCACAGAACACACAUAUCCAGGCAAAGGCAAGUGGCCAAGUAAUUACUAUCAGUAGACAGGCACUGGCAAGAUAAAAUGGUAUGAGGAAUGCGCCUAAGCAACAUGGAUAUUAAUUAAUGCAAUGGUUAUGUGACAUGGCCAUCCAUAUUGGACAAUACCUCUAAAGACAAGCACCUUAAGGAGCAAUUCUGUGGUCCCUGAGAUAGCAUUGCAAGGCCAGAGGAUUUACACCUCUCUCACCCCACCCAUGGAUCUGCCAUUUAUUUACAUUUAUGUGUGUGGGUUCUGAUCAAGACUGUGGUGUUGGGAGGAGGUGACACUAUCCUCUCUCUUCCUGCUAUCUUUCUUAUUAGGAAAGCACUUAAGAGACAAUUCUUCUUGGAAGUGGAAGGAGUUUUAAAAUGGGCAAACAGCACAAGAGGAAAAGGCUGGCCCCAGCCCCAUCCUUUAGUGUUGUGGCCCUGAUCUAACUGAAUGCCCGUUUCCGCUGUUGACUUUUUUAAAGUUUAAAAUUAGACAGGAUAUCCAGUUACACGUCAAGGUCAUUUCUAGUUUGGCCUUCCCUGUAGGCCUACAGAACCUACAGCGGGGAAGGGCCAUAGCUCUGCAUGCAGAAGACCCCAGAUUUCAUCCUUGGCCUCUCCAGGUAGGCCACAGCCUGUCAACAUGGACAGUACUGAGCUAGAUGGACCAGUGGUCUGACUCGGUAUAAGGCAGCUCCCUAUGUUCCUACGUACAGACAGGGCACUGACUGAACACAGUGGUAAGGCCUAUAGGACAGUACUUCUCCACACCCUCCUGAGCUUUGUCUCUUCUCUCACAGUACAGGGAGAGAAUUCCUAACAAGUGGAGUGAGGUGUGAACACACCAAGAAUUCUCCCCAAACAUCUCAAGUGCUUCAUUAUGGGUGCACAUUGUGUAAUAAGGACCCUUGGGCAGGGAGCUGGAAAAGUACUAAAAGGGUUAGGGUUCAUUUGCAGAAUGCCUGAAUGUGGCGAGAGUGCUCUGUAGAAGAAAGCCAAGUAACUGAUUACCUAGCAGAGAAAUCAACACUUACCAGUGCUGUGAAUGUGCAAAUUGUUAGAGCCGUGCCUUGGACUUAGGUUGGGGGAAUCAGGGUAGCUGUCCUGGGAUUUGGGGCUGCGGGCACUGAAACAACGUACUUCACUGUCGGUUCCAUUCACCAUCUCCACAAACUGCCGGCACCUGUGUGCAAGGAGAGAGGAAGAGAAAGAGUUGAAACACAAAAUGCCAGAGCAAUGGAUGCUGUGCAGUGGUUCAUGAGAAGCACACAAGCAUUUUAGUACCCGUUAGUAGCUGCAGCCUAGAACAAACAAGGAUCUUUAGAAACACCCAGAUGAGAAAAGCAGCAUUCUAGGGUCGAAAGCAAAGUUUUCAGCUAGAGAUGUCACCCGCAAGAUGAUGUAUGAAUUUAAUGUUCCAUUCAAAAGCCCAGUAUAAAGGAACAGACACAUGUUAAGCCCCUUCCCAAGACAGGAAACCACUCCAGCCACAGAGCAAAAUCUUUUUACUGAAAUGUCUGAAAGUGGCACUAACGAGUGAAAAUUUUCUCUCUUGCUGAAUUAGUAUUCUUCAGGAGCUGGAGCUAGUAGAUAAGGUACCCGGUCAACACAUGAAGCUGUCUUACACCAAGUCAGGCCAUUCAUCCAUCUAGCUCAGUAUUGUCUAAUCCAGGGUGUGUUUCAGGCAGGGGUCUUUCCCAGUCCUUCCUGGAAAUGCCAGCGCUUGAAUCUGGGACCUUCUGUAUGCAAAGCAUGUGCUCUACCACUGAGCCAUAGCAUUUUGGCUUCACACUGGGAGCAACCAGUCACCCUUAAGCUUUGCUUCUCAUGGAAAAGAAUUAGAAUUGUGCAGCAAGUGUUAAUAAGAGAACCAUGAAGAAGAAAUGAGACAAGUUUCUAUACUGGUAAGCUGCUUAGAAGCCUACUUUGGCAUCAAAUUAAUUAAUUAAUUACAAGACCCUUUUAUAGUUCACUUUUGAAGGAACAGAUACAGCAAAGCCUAGCACCUUGUUCCAUGUUCCAUCAUUGCAGACAGCCACUUCUAAAAUCACAGGCGUGUUAAGAGUAAAAAAAGCUGAUUCUCUGUGAAAGCGGUAUAGGUUCAGACCACAACUUAGUAUGACCAACUAUAUCCAGUGUGGGGAACUUUUGGCUCUCCAGAUGUUGAUGAACUACAACCAGAUAAUCUACCUGUACUAGAUUAUUAGACUGUGAGCAAGGGUAGUCUUCUCUUUUGAUGCUUGUACAGCAAUUAAAAAUGUAAGGUGUUUUAUGAGUGCUAAUAACGAAAGCAAGCAAUUCAGGUCUGCAUGCCUGUUUUGAAGUACAGAGAAGGAAAAGGAACGAUACCACAGAGGAAAACGGUGCCAUUGCAAAUAAUGUCUUAACACAGAGAGAUGUUUAAAGCAUCAUUCUAUAGGUAAAACAACCUUUCACUGGAUGAUUUGCCAUCCCCAGCUCUUCUGGAAUAAGCUGGAAUGUGGCUCAAGCCUGCUACCCUAACCAAUGGGGUCACCUUUUCAGCACUAUACAUCACUUAUUCUUCCUUCAUUUAAUAAAUUUAUUAACCACCAUUCAAAGUGCAAUGAUCUUCUCCUGACAGCUUCUAACUGUAAUAACCAAAGUAAAAACCUGGAAUGUUUGUAUCAUUGUAUCAUUAGACUCGUUUUGAUAGAUCACAGCCAGUAUUUCCAGUAUAAGCCUCUGUCUUCUUAUGUUCCUCACAUUGCAGGUCUUACUGUACUUGAAAGGAUUUGGAUGUACUCACUUUAACAUAAAAAGGAGAUUAGGAUUGUGCUCUAGGAGUCCUGGGUAUAGCUGUUGUGUGGCUUCAAUGGCUUCCCCCACUCUUCCUGCCAAGACCAGCUUCUGUAUUCCUGUAGAUGAAAGCAGAAUCACUGGGAUGGAACAGUAAGAUUGCCUAUAAUGACAGGCGGCAUAUAAUCCCAUUGGUAGACAGGCAAUAAAAAUGUUGGACUAUCUGAAUACCUGAAGAACAUGAACUUAUUUAAUUGCAGAUGAUGAUGUUCAAAGGCCUUUUUCUAGAUACUCCUAACUUCAGAGGAUAGAUAAAAGUGACCACAAAUAGGGACUUCAGUGUGAUGGCACCCCAGUUGUGGAAUUUCUUCCCCAGAAGGUACACCUGGUGUCAACUGCAGAUUAUUAGGUGUCAGAUAAAAAGUGUUAUUCUUGUCUUAAGUUUUUAACUGAACAGUAAUGCUGAUUUAUCUGCUGGUGUUACAAUACCUUUAUGCUGCUUCCUGUUGGUCUAUUGAUUUUAUUAAUUUUAUUGAUAUGUGAAUUUUGUACCUGAUAGUUGUUUAGUGAUGCUUUACAUUACUUUAUAUGAAAGCUACUCUGAGAACUUGUUAAGAGGCAAAAGGAAAAACCCCCACAUAAAAUGAUUUUAUUUUCAUUGUGAACCACUAUGGGAGUUCUUAUGGCAGAAAGAUUAUCGAUAAAUAUUGCAAAUAAAUAUUAGUAAUUCAGCAAUUGAGAGAAGAUAUUGGUCUUUCAAGUGCCAUAAAUCCUGCAUGGAGUUAGAGGUAUAACUCUGUACCCAAAGCAGUGAGUUCUUUGAAAAGGACAGCCAAAGACAACAUGCAAGGGUUUUUUUUAUGUAUGCAUUUUAAAAAAUAGAAAUAAAUAAUAUAGGUUUGGCAGAUUAAAUAAAAGAGUACCUAUUUUCCUUGAGUAGACUAUCCUGCUUCUAAAGUUCUCAAACCAAACAUUUGGUUUGGGAGUGGCAGGAUGAGGGGGGAAAAUGAUGAGACACUGGAACACUGGCAGCCACAGAAGAGGGCCCAAGGGAAGUUGUGCAGGAUAUUGAGGUUCUACCUAGUGACCACUUCCAUUUGGCAUCUGAAUAUGUGGAUAUUGGACAGAAGUCAUGCUGCAGGCAGGAAGGGCUGUCUCUCAAGUCUUCAGAGAAAGUUGUGAGGAAGUUGUAAGAAUAAACUUACUUUGUCUGUUCUUUAUAGAGAUCUGUUCUUCCUGGAUUGUACUUUCCGUCACCCUGGCAAAGGCAGUUGCUGUAGCACAGUACCCGUGAUGGACCAGAUAGGAAGAGACCAUACUGGGGGGAGAAUACAGAAAGCAAAUUGUAGAAUGGGUAUCUCUGUCAGCACAGAGCCAUGGCAAAGCUGUAAAACAGGGCUGUCCAACAGGUCGAUCAUGAUCUACUAGUCAAUCCCCAGGAGGUUUUUGUAGAUCGUGGACGAUCGCUGGCUCCUCUAUCUGACCCCAACCCCUAGAUUGCUAUACCAGAAGACGGAGCUCUUGCUGCGAUGUUAACUGUUUCAUUAGCAAUCUCUUGGUGAGCGACUUAUUAUUUAUUCCCCUGCCCUGAUCCCCCAAAUAAAUGGGAUUUGCCUCCCUAAAAAAAGCUCAGCAACUUGACCAGAACCCCCCAAAAAGGGGUAGACCACUGCCAGUUUUUAGUUGUGUGAGUAAAUCACAGUCUCUUGGAAGUUGGCUAUCCCUGCUGUAAAAUAUAUCUGGAAGGAUCACAUUAAUUUGAAGUCAGACGGUGUAUCCCAGAGUUGUCCUUGGCCCUGCUUUCUACAAUGAAAAUGUCACACUCUUAUAUGGUGAACAAAAGCAUUUUGGGAAGGGAACAGAAGACACUACUCUUGGUACAUUCCCACACACAACACAGGAGUUAGGCUAGCCAAAGGGAAGAGAUCGAUUCCUGCUUGGGUUUGAACAGUCAAACUGUUAUUAAAGAGCACUCAGGAAAUGCAUGCAUUAUGGUGAAGGAAACCUACAUUAAUGUUGCAAACUUUUUUUUUAGUAUCACUGCAUAAGAUGUUCAAAAUGAUACUGUAUUAAUGUAAGUGAACAGCAAGUGACCCUGGACCAAUUUACUGGAAAUCCUAUAAUGAACCAUUAAAUACACUGCCUGUCUUA